GGCUGCCUGGCGCAACGGCAGCGCGUCUGACUCCAGAUCAGAAGGAUAUCCGUUCAAAUCGGGUGGUGGUCA